rnacentral:rRNA from 1 species
AUUGAACGCUGGCGGCAGGCUUAACACAUGCAAGUCGAGCGGUAACAGGGGGAGCUUGCUCCCUGCUGACGAGCGGCGGACGGGUGAGUAAUGCUUAGGAAUCUGCCUAUUAGUGGGGGACAACAUUCCGAAAGGGAUGCUAAUACCGCAUACGCCCUACGGGGGAAAGCAGGGGAUCUUCGGACCUUGCGCUAAUAGAUGAGCCUAAGUCGGAUUAGCUAGUUGGUGGGGUAAAGGCCUACCAAGGCGACGAUCUGUAGCGGGUCUGAGAGGAUGAUCCGCCACACUGGGACUGAGACACGGCCCAGACUCCUACGGGAGGCAGCAGUGGGGAAUAUUGGACAAUGGAGGCAACUCUGAUCCAGCCAUGCCGCGUGUGUGAAGAAGGCCUUUUGGUUGUAAAGCACUUUAAGCGAGGAGGAGGCUCCCUUGGUUAAUACCCAAGGUGAGUGGACGUUACUCGCAGAAUAAGCACCGGCUAACUCUGU